rnacentral:rRNA from 1 species
UACGAAGGGGGCUAGCGUUGCUCGGAAUCACUGGGCGUAAAGGGUGCGUAGGCGGGUCUUUAAGUCAGGGGUGAAAUCCUGGAGCUCAACUCCAGAACUGCCUUUGAUACUGAAGAUCUUGAGUUCGGGAGAGGUGAGUGGAACUGCGAGUGUAGAGGUGAAGUUCGUAGAUAUUCGCAAGAACACCAGUGGCGAAGGCGGCUCUCUGGGACGGUACUGACGCUGAAACGCGAAAGCGUGGGGAGCGAACAGG